GGCUUGGCGAGUUGUGUUUUUUUUUUUUUUGUUUAUUUCUUUUUUAAUGUACAUGGUUAUUUUCUUACACAAUGCACCAUAGCAUUGUUGUCAUUCUCCUGUGCGUCAAAAUGUAAAUACAAACGGGUUUUUUGUUUUUUUUGCCAGUCGGUAUGCGCGCACAGGGUUAACUCGCUGUUUGUGACGUUGCGCAGCAAGUUAGCUGUAUGUUUGUAAGUUUUGUUAAAAUGGGUGCAAUGAGUAACUGAGCGGCUCAGAGCGAGUAUUCUUCCUCUCUUGGAUCACCGGUGAGCUCUGCUGGCCGCUCUGAGCUGCGCAGAAGGUGCGGAACCGAGCCAGCAGCGGGUUCUAAAGCGCACAUUGUCUGUGUCCAUGGUGGGGUCCGAUCAUCGUUACCUCCACAAAGGGUCGGAACAUUGCCGAGGUCUGCCACUUCAGAUCAUUCGCUGCCACAACUGCAGAGGAGGAGGAACGAAUUCAAGGGAGAUGCCAUCACCUGGAGGGCUGUGAGGGGAGACUCACCGAGGUGUCUGUGAGAGGAGGCAGGACAAUGGAUUUCUCCAUGGUGUUCAUGACGAUCCUCCA